UACGUAGGGUGCGAGCGUUAAUCGGAAUUACUGGGCGUAAAGCGUGCGCAGGCGGUUCGUUAAGUUCGUUGUGAAAGCCCCGGGCUCAACCUGGGAAUUGCAUUGGAAACUAGCGGGCUGGAGUGUGGCAGAGGGGGGUGGAAUUCCACGUGUAGCAGUGAAAUGCGUAGAGAUGUGGAGGAACACCGAUGGCGAAGGCAGCCCCCUGGGCUAACACUGACGCUCAUGCACGAAAGCGUGGGGAGCAAACAGG
rnacentral:rRNA from 1 species